rnacentral:rRNA from 1 species
UACAGAGGGGGCAAGCGUUAUUCGGAAUUAUUGGGCGUAAAGGGCGCGUAGGCGGCUUUGCAAGUGACGGGUGAAAGCCCUCGGCUUAACCGAGGAACUGCCUGUCAGACUGUAAGGCUUGAGACCGGGAGAGGUGAGUGGAAUUCCCAGUGUAGCGGUGAAAUGCGUAAAUAUUGGGAGGAACACCAGUGGCGAAGGCGGCUCACUGGACCGGAACUGACGCUGAGGCGCGAAAGCGUGGGGAGCAAACAGG